rnacentral:tRNA from 1 species
UAUGUUUUAGUAUAAAUGUACGAAGAUUUUUGAAAUCUUAUGGAAUAAUUUAAUUUAUUAAACAUAA